rnacentral:rRNA from 1 species
UUUUUUUUUUUUUUAUUUAUUUUUCUUCUGCGGAUGACGCUGGCGGCGUGCUUAACACAUGCAAGUCGAACGGAAAGGCCACAGCUUGCUGUGGUACUCGAGUGGCGAACGGGUGAGUAACACGUGGGUGAUCUGCCCUGUACUUCGGGAUAAGCUUGGGAAACUGGGUCUAAUACCGGAUAGGACUAACAUGUGGAUGGGUGGUUGGAAAGCUUUUGCGGUAUGGGAUGAGCUCGCGGCCUAUCAGCUUGUUGGUGGGGUAAUGGCCUACCAAGGCGUCGACGGGUAGCCGGCCUGAGAGGGUGUACGGCCACAUUGGGACUGAGAUACGGCCCAGACUCCUACGGGAGGCAGCAGUGGGGAAUAUUGCACAAUGGGCGCAAGCCUGAUGCAGCGACGCCGCGUGGGGGAUGACGGCCUUCGGGUUGUAAACUCCUUUCGUCAGGGACGAAGCGAAAGUGACGGUACCUGGAUAAGAAGCACCGGCUAACUACGUGCCAGCAGCCGCGGUAAUACGUAGGGUGCGAGCGUUGUCCGGAAUUACUGGGCGUAAAGAGCUCGUAGGUGGUUUGUCGCGUCGUUUGUGUAAGUCCACGGCUUAACUGUGGGAUGGCAGGCGAUACGGGCAUAACUUGAGUGCUGUAGGGGAGACUGGAAUUCCUGGUGUAGCGGUGAAAUGCGCAGAUAUCAGGAGGAACACCGAUGGCGAAGGCAGGUCUCUGGGCAGUAACUGACGCUGAGGAGCGAAAGCAUGGGUAGCGAACAGGAUUAGAUACCCUGGUAGUCCAUGCCGUAAACGGUGGGCGCUAGGUGUGAGUCCCUUCCACGGGGUUCGUGCCGUAGCUAACGCAUUAAGCGCCCCGCCUGGAGACGCGACUG